UGGGGAAUAUUGCACAAUGGGCGCAAGCCUGAUGCAGCCAUGCCGCGUGUGUGAAGAAGGCCUUCGGGUUGUAAAGCACUUUCAGCGAGGAGGAAGGUGGUGAACUUAAUACGUUCAUCAAUUGACGUUACUCGCAGAAGAAGCACCGGCUAACUCCGUGCCAGCAGCCGCGGUAAUACGGAGGGUGCAAGCGUUAAUCGGAAUUACUGGGCGUAAAGCGCACGCAGGCGGUUUGUUAAGUCAGAUGUGAAAUCCCCGGGCUCAACCUGGGAACUGCAUUUGAAACUGGCAAGCUAGAGUCUCGUAGAGGGGGGUAGAAUUCCAGGUGUAGCGGUGAAAUGCGUAGAGAUCUGGAGGAAUACCGGUGGCGAAGGCGGCCCCCUGGACGAAGACUGACGCUCAGGUGCGAAAGCGUGGGGAGCAAACAGGUUAGAUACCCUGGUAGUCCACGCUGUAAACGAUGUCGAUUUUGGAGGUUGUGCCCUUGAGGCGUGGCUUCCGGAGCUAACGCGUUAAA
rnacentral:rRNA from 1 species